rnacentral:rRNA from 1 species
UCAGGCCUAACACAUGCAAGUCGAGCGGUAGCAGGAAGUGCUUGCACUUCGCUGACGAGCGGCGGACGGGUGCGUAACACGUAGGAAUCUGCCUGGUAGUGGGGGAUAGCCCGGAGAAAUCCGGAUUAAUACCGCAUACGCCCUACGGGGGAAAGGAGGGGACCCGUUUCUUUUAUAAGGAGCGAGCCUUUCGCUAUCAGAUGAGCCUGCGUCGGAUUGGCUUGUUGGUGGGGUAAAGGCCUACCAAGGCGACGAUCCGUAGCUGGUCUGAGAGGAUGAUCAGCCACACUGGGACUGAGACACGGCCCAGACUCCUACGGGAGGCAGCAGUGGGGAAUAUUGCACAAUGGGCGAAAGCCUGAUGCAGCCAUGCCGCGUGUGUGAAGAAGGCCCUAGGGUUGUAAAGCACUUUCAGUGGGGAGGAAAGGUUGAAGGUUAAUACCCUUCAGCUGUGACGUUACCCACAGAAGAAGCACCGGCUAACUCCGUGCCAGCAGCCGCGGUAAUACGGAGGGUGCGAGCGUUAAUCGGAAUUACUGGGCGUAAAGCGUGCGUAGGCGGCCACCUAAGUUGGAUGUGAAAGCCCCGGGCUCAACCUGGGAACUGCAUCCAAAACUGGGUGGCUAGAGUACGGGAGAGGAGUGUGGAAUUUCCUGUGUAGCGGUGAAAUGCGUAGAUAUAGGAAGGAACACCAGUGGCG